UGCAAGUCGAGCGGACAGAUGGGAGCUUGCUCCCUGAUGUUAGCGGCGGACGGGUGAGGAACACGUGGGUAACCUGCCUGUAAGACUGGGAUAACUCCGGGAAACCGGGGCUAAUACCGGAUGGUUGUCUGAACCGCAUGGUUCAGACAUAAAAGGUGGCUUCGGCUACCACUUACAGAUGGACCCGCGGCGCAUUAGCUAGUUGGUGAGGUAACGGCUCACCAAGGCGACGAUGCGUAGCCGACCUGAGAGGGUGAUCGGCCACACUGGGACUGAGACACGGCCCAGACUCCUACGGGAGGCAGCAGUAGGGAAUCUUCCGCAAUGGACGAAAGUCUGACGGAGCAACGCCGCGUGAGUGAUGAAGGUUUUCGGAUCGUAAAGCUCUGUUGUUAGGGAAGAACAAGUGCCGUUCAAAUAGGGCGGCACCUUGACGGUACCUAACCAGAAAGCCACGGCUAACUACGUGCCAGCAGCCGCGGUAAUACGUAGGUGGCAAGCGUUGUCCGGAAUUAUUGGGCGUAAAGGGCUCGCAGGCGGUUUCUUAAGUCUGAUGUGAAAGCCCCCGGCUCAACCGGGGAGGGUCAUUGGAAACUGGGGAACUUGAGUGCAGAAGAGGAGAGUGGAAUUCCACGUGUAGCGGUGAAAUGCGUAGAGAUGUGGAGGAACACCAGUGGCGAAGGCGACUCUCUGGUCUGUAACUGACGCUGAGGAGCGAAAGCGUGGGGAGCGAACAGGAUUAGAUACCCUGGUAGUCCACGCCGUAAACGAUGAGUGCUAAGUGUUAGGGGGUUUCCGCCCCUUAGUGCUGCAGCUAACGCAUUAAGCACUCCGCCUGGGGAGUACGGUCGCAAGACUGAAACUCAAAGGAAUUGACGGGGGCCCGCACAAGCGGUGGAGCA
rnacentral:rRNA from 1 species